rnacentral:rRNA from 1 species
AGAGUUUGAUCCUGGCUCAGAAUGAACGCUGGCGGCGUGCCUAACACAUGCAAGUCGGAUGUGCCGCAAGGUGCAUGGCAGACGGGUGAGUAACGCGUGGGGAACCUACCUCUUUGUGGGGAAUAACGUUCCGAAAGGAAUGGUAAUACCGCAUGAGACCGUUGGCUGGGAUGCUGACGGUGAAACCCGGGGACCGCAAGGCCUGGGGCAAGGAGAGGGUCCUGCGUCUGAUUAGCUAGUUGGUGGGGUAACGGCCUACCAAGGCAUCGAUCAGUAGCCGGCCUGAGAGGGUGAUCGGCCACACUGGAACUGAGACACGGUCCAGACUCCUACGGGAGGCAGCAGUGGGGAAUUUUGCGCAAUGGGCGAAAGCCUGACGCAGCAACGCCGCGUGGGUGAUGAAGGUCUUCGGAUCGUAAAACCCUGUCGUCAGGGACGAAGGUUGCAUGUCUAAUAGAUGUGUAACUUGACGGUACCUGGAGAGGAAGCCCCGGCUAACUCUGUGCCAGCAGCCGCGGUAAUACAGAGGGGGCAAGCGUUAUUCGGAAUUAUUGGGCGUAAAGGGCGCGUAGGCGGUAUUUUAAGUGAGAUGUGUAAUCCCCGAGCUUAACUUGGGAACUGCAUCUCAGACUGGAGUGCUAGAGUGCUGGAGAGGGUGGUAGAAUUCCACGUGUAGCGGUGAAAUGCGUAGAGAUGUGGAGGAAUACCAGUGGCGAAGGCGGCCACCUGGACAGUAACUGACGCUGAGGCGCGAAAGUGUGGGUAGCAAACAGGAUUAGAUACCCUGGUAGUCCACGCUGUAAACGAUGAACACUUGGUGUGGUGGGAGUUGACCCCCGCCGUGCCGUAGCUAACGCGAUAAGUGUUCCGCCUGGGGAGUACGGUCGCAAGGCUGAAACUUAAAGGAAUUGACGG